ACCCUGUAUAACCGAGUUUGUG
rnacentral:miRNA from 1 species